CAACCCUCAAGCCCUGCUUGGUGUUGGGCCCUGCCCGUUGCGGCCGGCCCUAAAGUCAGUGGCGGCGCCGUCUGGCUCUAAGCGUAGUACAUCUCUCGCUCUAGGGCCCCGCGGUGGCUUGCCAGCAACCCCAACUCCUAUGG
rnacentral:misc_RNA from 1 species